GACGAACGCUGGCGGCGUGCUUAACACAUGCAAGUCGAACGGAAAGGCCCUGCUUUCAGUGUACUCGAGUUGCGAACGGGUGAGUAACACGUGGGUGAUCUGCCCUGCACUUCGGGAUAAGCCUGGUAAACUGGGUCUAAUACCUGAUAGGAGCCAUUUUGAGUGUGAUGGUUGGAAAGUUUUUUCGGUGUUGGAUGAGCUGGCGGCCUAUCAGCUUGUUGGUGGGGUAAUGGCCUACCAAGGCGGCGACGGGUAGCCGGCCUGCGAGGGUGGACGGCCACCUUGGGACUGAGAUAAGGCCCAGACUCCGACGGGAGGCAGCAGGGGGGAAGAUUGAACAAUGGGCGCAAGCCUGAUGCAGCGACGCCGCGUGGGGGAUGACGGCCUUAGGGUUGUAAAAUCAUUUCGCAAGGGACGAAGCUUUUUGUGACGGUACCUAGAUAAGAAGCACCGGCUAACUACGUG
rnacentral:rRNA from 1 species